rnacentral:rRNA from 1 species
GUGCUUACACAUGCAGUCGACGCUGAAGCCCGAAGCUUGCUUCGGGUGGAUGAGUGGCGAACGGGUGAGUAACACGUGAGUAACCUGCCCCUGAUUUCGGGAUAAGCCUGGGAAACCGGGUCUAAUACCGGAUACGACCAACCCUCGCAUGAGGGUUGGUGGAAAGUUUUUCGAUCAGGGAUGGGCUCGCGGCCUAUCAGCUUGUUGGUGGGGUAAUGGCCCACCAAGGCGACGACGGGUAGCCGGCCUGAGAGGGCGACCGGCCACACUGGGACUGAGACACGGCCCAGACUCCUACGGGAGGCAGCAGUGGGGAAUAUUGCACAAUGGGGGAAACCCUGAUGCAGCGACGCAGCGUGCGGGAUGACGGCCUUCGGGUUGUAAACCGCUUUCAGCAGGGAAGAAGCGAAAGUGACGGUACCUGCAGAAGAAGUACCGGCUAACUACGUGCCAGCAGCCGCGGUAAUACGUAGGGUACGAGCGUUGUCCGGAAUUAUUGGGCGUAAAGAGCUCGUAGGUGGUUGGUCACGUCUGCUGUGGAAACGCAACGCUUAACGUUGCGCGUGCAGUGGGUACGGGCUGACUAGAGUGCAGUAGGGGAGUCUGGAAUUCCUGGUGUAGCGGUGAAAUGCGCAGAUAUCAGGAGGAACACCGGUGGCGAAGGCGGGACUCUGGGCUGUAACUGACACUGAGGAGCGAAAGCAUGGGGAGCGAACAGGAUUAGAUACCCUGGUAGUCCAUGCCGUAAACGUUGGGCACUAGGUGUGGGGGACAUUCCACGUUCUCCGCGCCGUAGCUAACGCAUUAAGUGCCCCGCCUGGGGAGUACGGUCGCAAGGCUAAAACUCAAAGGAAUUGACGGGGGCCCGCACAAGCGGCGGAGCAUGCGGAUUAAUUCGAUGCAACGCGAAGAACCUUACCAAGGCUUGACAUACACUGGAACGGUUCUGGAAAACAGUUCUUCUCUUUGGAGCUGGUGUACAGGUGGUGCAUGGGUUGUCGUCAGCUCCGGUCCUGAAAUGUUGGGUUAAGUCCCCCAACCAGCGCCAACCCUCGUUCUAUGUUGCCCAACACCGGAAGGGUGGGAACUCCUAGGAAAACUGGCAGGGGUCCAACUCUGAAGCAACGUGGUGGAAGGACGUCCAAUCCAUCCUUGCCCCUUUAGGGUCUUGGGCUU